rnacentral:rRNA from 1 species
UGACUCCAUCCCGAACUCAGAAGUGAAACACAAUCGCGCCGAUGGUAGUGUGGGGUCUCCCCAUGUGAGAGUAGGUCAUCGCCAAGC